UACGGAGGGUGCAAGCGUUGUCCGGAUUCACUGGGUUUAAAGGGAGCGUAGGUGGCUUUGUAAGUCAGUGGUGAAAUAUUGCGGCUCAACCGCAAAACUGCCAUUGAUACUGCUUAGCUUGAAUCACGUCGAGGUGGAUGGAAUAAUACAUGUAGCGGUGAAAUGCUUAGAUAUGUAUUAGAACACCGAUUGCGAAGGCAGUUCACUAGGCGUGUAUUGACACUGAGGCUCGAAAGCGUGGGGAUCAAACAGG
rnacentral:rRNA from 1 species